rnacentral:ncRNA from 1 species
GAAUCAUCAAGAGAGACUGAGGGACUGGCCCUGUGAUGUCUCAGCAACCUACCUUACUGGUGUGGUGCUAAUUCCAGAAAGAUGAAAA